GACGAACGCUGUCGGCGUGCUUAACACAUGCAAGUCGAACGGAAAGGCCCUGCUUUUGUGGGGUGCUCGAGUGGCGAACGGGUGAGUAACACGUGAGUAACCUGCCCUUGACUUUGGGAUAACUUCAGGAAACUGGGGCUAAUACCGGAUAGGAGCUCCUGCUGCAUGGUGGGGGUUGGAAAGUUUCGGCGGUUGGGGAUGGACUCGCGGCUUAUCAGCUUGUUGGUGGGGUAGUGGCUUACCAAGGCUUUGACGGGUAGCCGGCCUGAGAGGGUGACCGGCCACAUUGGGACUGAGAUACGGCCCAGACUCCUACGGGAGGCAGCAGUGGGGAAUAUUGCACAAUGGGCGGAAGCCUGAUGCAGCAACGCCGCGUGCGGGAUGACGGCCUUCGGGUUGUAAACCGCUUUCGCCUGUGACGAAGCGUGAGUGACGGUAAUGGGUAAAGAAGCACCGGCUAACUACGUGCCAGCAGCCGCGGUGAUACGUAGGGUGCGAGCGUUGUCCGGAUUUAUUGGGCGUAAAGGGCUCGUAGGUGGUUGAUCGCGUCGGAAGUGUAAUCUUGGGGCUUAACCCUGAGCGUGCUUUCGAUACGGGUUGACUUGAGGAAGGUAGGGGAGAAUGGAAUUCCUGGUGGAGCGGUGGAAUGCGCAGAUAUCAGGAGGAACACCAGUGGCGAAGGCGGUUCUCUGGGCCUUUCCUGACGCUGAGGAGCGAAAGCGUGGGGAGCGAACAGGCUUAGAUACCCUGGUAGUCCACGCUGUAAACGGUGGGUACUAGGUGUGGGGUCCAUUCCACGGGUUCCGUGCCGUAGCUAACGCUUUAAGUACCCCGCCUGGGGAGUACGGCCGCAAGGCUAAAACUCAAAGGAAUUGACGGGGCCCCGCACAAGCGGCGGAGCAUGCGGAUUAAUUCGAUGCAACGCGUAGAACCUUACCCGGGUUUGACAUGGAUCGGGAGUGCUCAGAGAUGGGUGUGCCUCUUUUGGGGUCGGUUCACAGGUGGUGCAUGGCUGUCGUCAGCUCGUGUCGUGAGAUGUUGGGUUAAGUCCCGCAACGAGCGCAACCCUUGUUCACUGUUGCCAGCACGUUAUGGUGGGGACUCAGUGGAGACCGCCGGGGUCAACUCGGAGGAAGGUGGGGAUGACGUCAAGUCAUCAUGCCCCUUAUGUCCAGGGCUUCACGCAUGCUACAAUGGCUGGUACAGAGAGUGGCGAGCCUGUGAGGGUGAGCGAAUCUCGGAAAGCCGGUCUCAGUUCGGAUUGGGGUCUGCAACUCGACCUCAUGAAGUCGGAGUCGCUAGUAAUCGCAGAUCAGCAACGCUGCGGUGAAUACGUUCCCGGG
rnacentral:rRNA from 1 species